UUUAAGGUAGCGACGGAUAGCAACCACGUGAUCAGUAAAAAUUGUGUAUUUUCACGUGAAUUCAUUUUCCGGAAUUCCUUACUCCGUCAUAGAAUAGUCGAAAAACAAAAAGGGGUUCCGAAAGUGUUUUGUUGUUGUGACUGACUCGCCUACAGAAAAUAUGCACAUACCACAUAAGUAUACGUCAAUGUCUGUAAUAAUGGUAGAUCAAAUGUUUCAUCUGUGUGAAACUUUUUGCUAAUCGAAAUGUUAAACCAACCACCAAUCCAUGUACAUAGAUGCGCUACGUAAACAAAGUUGUUGAUUGAUGCAUCGUAAUGUCCGAGUGCUGCAUGCUGAGAGAUUAAAUACUGUUUAUACAGUCAUUGAGAGGCUAAACAAAGUUUCUUGCAAGAAGAGGAAGUUGGUGGAUGCAUUCAACUUGGACAACGAAAUCAUAGUUUCGUUUGGCAUCAGCCUGAAGACCGAGGGAGGUUAGAUAGGACCAGUGCAGGUUGAAGUGGAUUUCGAGUCAACAAGUAUAACAGCAAGAGAGGUACUCCAUUUACAGUGAUGAUGACAUAUCCCCUGGACCCCCACAACUCCACAAAUUUAAAAAUGUUUGAUCAAGUUCCAAAGAUUAAAGAACUACUGCAAAAUUUGGGACUGGAUGAAAAACAUUAAUUCACUUAUAUGAGCUCAGAGCAGUGGAUGUUAUACAACAUACUUUAAACUAAAUUGUGAAUUUAAUACAUGUCAUGUACUCGUAUAUUACAAGUACAUGCCUUUUGAAAGACAAUAAUAUUGCAUAGAUGUAAAGGAAAUUUCAAUGUUGAUUAUUCUUUCUUAGAUAUAUUAGUAAAAAAUGUGCACAUGAUAGAAUAUCAAUUUUAUAACUUCAAUCAAUGUGUUUGAAUUUUCCUUGUAAUUCAAAAUUUAGUUGAAACAUACAUCAUAGAUACAUUAAUGUAUAUCAAAUUUUUAGAAAAGUUUCAUAAUGGAACUAAUUCACACCUCCCCCCCCCCCCUUAUACAUACAGUGAACAUAGACCUUCACCUGGGGAAAACUUCAGUUAGUUAAUGCAAUAUACAUGUACAUGCAUUCUCAGUUAUCCAAUAGUGAGUUUUUGGUUCCAUGUGAAACUACAAUGAGAAAUCUUAAACUUAUGAAAGACACACCUAUCUGUGAGGGUAAGAUGACUCAGAUGGACUUAAAUGUAGUGAUCCAUGGGCAGUCCAUAGGUCUCUUUCCAUUGAUAUUAAUUAUUUAUUGAAAUAUGAAAUGGUUAUUUAAACAUAUUUGGAGUAUUAUACUGUAUAGUGAUAUAAAUUUCUAUCAAAAAAUAUGCAUAGGUAAUAGAUUUGGUCCAGUUAUUACAAGAAAUUGUAUGAAAAAUAACUAAAUAUUUAGGCAAUCAUUGUGAGUGCAAAAAGGUCAACUGCAGUAGCACACACUAUAUAUCAUUCUUAAAUGGCUCAUAGAAACUUCUAGUAUUGUGAGUUUGAAUGCUCAAUAUGGUAAUUUGGAAAUGCUUAAUCAGUUUAUCUCUGCUGACUGUAUCUCUUAAAAUUCAUUUCUAGAAGGGAGGGGGUAGGGUUACAAAAUCUGACAUAUUUUCAGAUUAAACCUCAUUUGGUAUAUUUUUUUCUAUUCAAUAUUUUAGAUACUACUGGACUUAUUGUAAAAAUGAAAUAAAAUCAGAAAUUUUAUGAGCAGAAUUUUGUUGUUGUCAGAAAAUGUAUGCCUGAUAGUAUUUGAGAAAUGUCAUAUUUUGGGUAAAUUUGGCCAAUUGCCAAGUCGAAUCAUGCCAAUGUUUUCCUUAGAUGCAUUUUGAAUUUCUAAUCCAUGUUGAUUUUUUAUCUGUUUGUGUUUAAUUUACAUAACUAUAUAUGACAAACAAUAUUUCUGGUGCCAAUAAAUUUUUUUUAUUGGCUUUUGUGUUAAUUUGCUCAAUUUUGGCAUUUUUUGCCUUUUGGGGCUGCAAAAGAGGGGAUUUCAAUCUCGCUUUCCUCGAAAAUUAACCUGAUUACUUUUGUUGAUUUUUUGAUAUGUUUUAGGAUAAAGUCAAAAUGUUACAAUAAAUAAAAUUGAAAAAAAUUCAA